AAUCUCCCCUAGUUGUCACUUUUCUCAUAUGCAAAUGGAGCCUCUGGACUUUGCAGCCUUGAAGGUACUGUCCAGGCGAACAUCCUAUCAUCUGCAGGUUCUAGUCGCAGCUCCGCUCCACCGCUCCCUUCCCUGCUUCCCUUCACAGAGCUUGGCUCUGGGGACACACCAUGGGCACUGAACCUCCCACCUCCUGCUUCAGAAAGCUUCACGCAUUGCAGACGAGGAAACAGAUGCCCAGGGAGUGAGUUGCCUGAGGUUAUGCAGUGGAACCUGGAACCCAGGCCUGGGGCUGCCUAGCGCUGCCGUUCCCGUCACAGGCCCAGAAGCAUGGAUGUGGUCCCCCGCCCUGCUGUGCAGUAGUAUGGUACCAGGCUCUCCGCGGGGCCUUCACGAUGUAGACAAGGACGACAUGUUGAGCUCAAGGUAGAGGGAGGCCAACAGAUCAGAAGACAACUGCUGUUGAAAAGACAGUUUGCGACCAGGCGUGGUGGCUCAGUCCUGUAAUCCCAGCACUUUGGGAGGCCGAGGCAGGUGGAUCACCUGAGGUCGGGAGUUUGAGACCAGCCUGACCAACAUGGAGUAACCCCGUCUCUUUUAAAAAUACAAAAAGAGAAAAAAAAAUUAGCUGGACAUGAUGGCGCACGCCUGUAAUUCCAGCUAUUCUGGAGGCUGAGGCAGGAGAAUCGCUUGAGCCCAGGAGGUGGAGGUUGUGGUGAGCCGAGAUCACACCA